rnacentral:tRNA from 1 species
AAAGGGAGACCUAAUUCAGGUAAAAGACGAAAAAAAAGUAGUCGCUACCAAGAAUCAAUCCCAAAAGGUCGGUGCGAGGCGAAAUUGGCUUUCAAACUAGGUUCUGGGUUCAAACAAGACCUGAAUCAGGAACAAGGGCUAUUAGCUCAGGUGGUUAGAGCGCACCCCUGAUAAGGGUGAGGUCCCUGGUUCGAGUCCAGGAUGGCCCACCUGCACAGGUGGCAAAAACAAGAGAAGCGAGGAAUCAGCACCUUAUCUUACUUAUAUAGUAAGAGAGAAUGCUGGCUCUGAGUAAAGAGUCCAGAGGAACCUUGAAAACUGCAUAGAGCUAGGUGAAAAAGCCAAAAAAGAAGACCGCAAG